UCGUGAUGACGAGGCGCUACGGCGCUGAAGUGAUUGAUACCAAGCUUCCAGGAAAAGCCACUAAGCUUCAGUCUAGAGUUGACCGUACCGCAAACCGACACAGGUGGGCAGGAUGAAAAUUCUAAGGCGCUUGAGAGAACUCAGGAGAAGGAACUCGGCAAAUUAACACCGUAACUUCGGGAGAAGGUGUGCCCCGGUAGCGUGUAGAGACUUGCUCUCGAAGCGCGAUGGGGUUGCAGUGAAAUGGUGGCUGCGACUGUUUAAUAAAAACACAGCACUCUGCAAACACGAAAGUGGACGUAUAGGGUGUGACGCCUGCCCGGUGCCGGAAGGUUAAUUGAUGGGGUGCAAGCUCUUGAUCGAAGCCCCGGUAAACGGCGGCCGUAACAAUAACGGUCCUAAGGUAGCGAAAUUCCUUGUCGGGUAAGUUCCGACCUGCACGAAUGGCGUAACGAUGGCCACACUGUCUCCUCCUGAGACUCAGCGAAGUUGAAAUGUUUGUGAAGAUGCAAUCUACCCGCGGCUAGACGGAAAGACCCCAUGAACCUUUACUGUAGCUUUGCAUUGGACUUUGAACCGGUUUGUGUAGGAUAGGUGGGAGACUGUGAAGCCGGGACGCUAGUUUCGGUGGAGUCAACCUUGAAAUACCACCCUGAUUUGUUUGAGGUUCUAACCUUGGUCCGUGAAUCCGGAUCGGGGACCGUGCAUGGUAGGCAGUUUGACUGGGGCGGUCUCCUCCCAAAAGGUAACGGAGGAGUACGAAGGUACGCUUAGGGCGGUCGGACAUCGCCCACAAAGUGCAAUGGCAAAAGCGUGCUUGACUGCGAGACCCACAAGUCGAGCAGGUACGAAAGUAGGUCGUAGUGAUCCGGUGGUUCUGUAUGGAAGGGCCAUCGCUCAACGGAUAAAAGGUACUCUGGGGAUAACAGGCUAAUUCCUCCCAAGAGUUCAUAUCGACGGGGGAGUUUGGCACCUCGAUGUCGGCUCAUCACAUCCUGGGGCUGUAGUCGGUCCCAAGGGUAUGGCUGUUCGCCAUUUAAAGUGGUACGCGAGCUGGGUUUAAAACGUCGUGAGACAGUUUGGUCCCUAUCUGCCGUGGGCGCUGGAAAUUUGAAGGGGGCUGCUCCUAGUACGAGAGGACCGGAGUGGACGAACCUCUGGUGUACCGGUUAUGACGCCAGUCGUAUUGCCGGGUAGCUAAGUUCGGAAGAGAUAAGCGCUGAAAGCAUCUAAGCGUGAAACUCGCCUUAAGAUUAGAUUUCCCGGAGUCUUGAACUCCCUGAAGGGUCGUCGAAGACCACGACGUUGAUAGGUCAGGUGUGGAAGCGCAGUAAUGCGUUAAGCUAACUGAUACUAAUUGCCCGUGCGGCUUGAUCC
rnacentral:rRNA from 1 species